CUACGAUGUCAGAGCUCCCUGAAAAAUGACAAACUUUACACUACCUGCAUGAGAUCCUGAAGGCUUUCAACAAAAGAAAUCUCUGCUUCAACCAUAUAAAAUUCAGCCAGGUGUCUCCGGCUCUGGGAAUUCUCAGCUCGGAAUGUUGGACCAAAGGUCCCAUUACGCAGCCCAAGCUGGUACUGAGCUCUCAACGUUCUAUACAGCCUCCCAAGCGGUGAGAUCAGAAGCGUGCAUCAAGCAUGUCCAACAGAUACUUUGUUUGACUGGUGUUUGCUUCCUGUCUUCCUCUGGUUCCAAAUAACUGCGAGUUCUUAAAGUCAAAUCUGAUUACACCAGUAAAACUUAAAAGUUCUCAGUGACUCUCUCUCCAAAAGAAGAAACACUCCUAUUCUUUCCCCAUGUAGCUUUUCUCUACAGCUCUCUUGAAGACUUUCUUCUUACCAACAUGUUCCUGAGCUGUACAUCUCUGCACAGAAUAUUCUCUAUGCCAUCCUUGCUCUUCUCUCUCUAAAUACAAAUUCCCAUCCAACCUUCAAAAUUUGCCCUAAAAAUUCUUUCAUUUUUGAAAUGUUAUCACCCCUCCCCCAACUUAUUUCCCUCCUAUAUAGUACUACAACACUUUAUAUUAUUAUAUAAAAUGUCUCACUUU